UACGGGGGGAGCAAGCGUUGUUCGGAAUCACUGGGCGUAAAGGGCGUGUAGGCGGCCAAGUAAGUCGGGGGUGAAAUCCACUGGCUCAACCAGUGACGUGCCUUCGAAACUGCCUGGCUUGAGUAUGGCAGAGGGAAGCGGAAUUCCAGGUGUAGCGGUGAAAUGCGUAGAUAUCUGGAAGAACACCGGUGGCGAAGGCGGCUUCCUGGGCCAAUACUGACGCUGAGGCGCGAAAGCCAGGGGAGCGAACGGG
rnacentral:rRNA from 1 species